UUUUUGCUUUUCUUCAGAGGUUCUAUAAAUUAAAUUCUAUUUUCAUUUCUUGACUUAUUUUCAUAAUUUAAUUCAACUGUGUUUUGUGGUAUUUGUUUUGGCAUUUAUUUAUAUCCUUUUAGAAUUCUUUAUUUUCAGUAUUGCUAUUUUUGAAUUCAUUGUCUUAUACAUCACCUGAAUUGUUUUUCUUAGGGAACAUUACUCUGGACAUACUAACUCUUCAUGGAGACUUAGUACUUUGGUUAUUCAUGUUUGCCCAUUAGUAAUGGAAACUAAGCAUCUGCAGUCGGAUGGCCAAACCUGAAGAGCAACCCAAACCUCUGUGUACUCAGAAGUAAUGGUAAACUGAGCCGUCUAAUGCCUGUGACAAGCCACCGUCAGCAACACUCGAGAUACUCCAUACCUAGUGGAAAUCAAGACCAUCAUCUUCACCUGAGUUGACAUCCACCCAAAUUGACGUCCAUUCAGGCCAUUCAGCCAGCUGUGAGGAGCAGUGUCCACUGAGGAUUGCCACCCUCCCUUACACCAUGCCACCAAAACCCCUUAUGCUUCCCUGACGGACCCCUUCCUGUGUUCACGUUUACAGUCUUUUGUUUCCCUCUAGAUCCCACAGAUGAACAUUAGGGACUUGUCUUUCUGAGUGUGGCCCCAGUUUCAUCCAUCUCCCUAUGGCAGUUGUUAAUUCUAAGUAGAUUAUAUAUUUGUUGUAUUUUAUAAAGACUGAGUUAAUACUAGGUUCCUGAUUUCCUCAUCUUGGUUUGUUUAGCUGUUGGAAUGUCCAGUAGCCAAAUGAUUCGGCUUCUUUUGUUGCAUGCUUCAGACCAGAAGAAGAGCAUAUAUUUAUUUGAGAAACAAAGGUACCUGUGGCACUAGACACUUGUGUUAGGCAAGAUUUUCUAGAAAAACAGAGGCAAUAAAAUAUAUAUUAUAAAGGA